AUGUAUUUUUAUUUUUUGCUUCAGAUCUGUCUCUGGUCUAAUGUACAAGAGAUGUUGAGUUUCUACAAUAUGUAUUUCUUAAGCAUAGCAGAAACCCCUUUUGCAACAAUAACUAUCAUUUCUAUUGACAGAAAGAAAAAAAAAAGGAAACACAGCGCCCUCAGACAAAAAUGA